AACCUAGCACACCUGCGGUGUGUACCUGCGGAGGGAUCAUUAACGCGUCUCCGACGGCGAGGGCGCGCCCCAGCUCCGGGCCGAAAGGCCGCGCUGCGGGGCGGCCCGAGCCGCUCGACCUUUGCGAACCCGCUGUGCACUUUUGUCGGCAGAGGCCCCCCGGGGCCCGAGCCGGAAUCACAAACCCACUCGAAUCGAACGCUGAGCGGCCCCCGUGCCGCCUAAACUUUGACAACUUUU
rnacentral:misc_RNA from 1 species